GCGCUAAUAGCUCAGUUGGGAGAGCGUCAGACUGAAGUUAACAUUAUGUCAAAUAAUCUGAAGGUCACCCGUUCGAUCCGGGUUUGGCGCA